AGUUUCCAGUAGUCAAGGCAAAUACAUGUACUACUCGUCGAAGUUUGCAGAAGUUAGCUUGCCGUCUUCCUCGGCCCAUCCGCCGGCAUUAGGUUAUUAGCUUUGUCCCUUUACCUUUUCGCUCUAUCGAUCUCCCUGGACAUGGAGGCCUCUGGUGUUCCGGUGCUUGGAGUCGGACAAAUCCCGAUUGAUUAUAUUCUCCACAAAUCUCUCAUCGGCCACGGCCUCACGGUCCACGACGCGCAGGGUAACGUCGUCUUUCGGAUCGGCCCUUCGUCCUCGUCGGGUCGCCGCACCAAAAUCCUCUUUGAUUCAGUCGGAAAUCCCUUGGUCACCGUCUUAUAUCUCAACGAUGAGUGGAGAUGUUUCAGAGGGAACAGCCAGGAACUCGAGGACUUGAUCUUCACAGUCCACAAGAUUUUGUACUAUCCAUCUAACACCGAGCUAGAUGUUCUCUUAUCAAGUGCAAAUUCUUUGGACCAAAAAACAGGCUUUAGGCUGAAGGGCAAUCCUUUUAGAAGAGCAUGCACCAUCAUACGGGGGGACUCAAUUGUGGCUCAGAGGGCUUUGCCUUGUUGUUGGUACUAAAAGAAGGAAAUCCUAUCGAGAAAGGAAAGUCCAGGGCAACGAUUUAUGUGUCUUGCAUUCCAUGACUUAGUUGAUCUCUAAUGAACCAUAGUGAAUUUGUUUCUGUUAGGAAAAAUGUUGAUACAGUGUCCUUAUUUGGAAAAUGUAAGACAAUGUUGUUUCACAAAACUGCUUUCUCAUCACUGAUGCUAGUUUGCCUUGAUUUGCUCCUUUGCAAAACUACAGUGGGAAGUAGAUAUCUAUAAUUUGAAGCAAAAAGAUUAAAUUUCUUGUUUCUUGAUUACUUCUUCGUGAUGAAUAUUAAUUAAGUGAAAUAUAUAUGAAUGGUAUUAAUAAGAAAUUAGAUUGAUAUAUGGCUAAUCAAACUACAAAUAACAAUAUCAAAUUUUCAAUUACCGUUAUAAUUAGACUAAAAUCCUACUUCAAGUAAUUUCAUAUAGGCUAAUUUGGAAUAAGUGUCUAUUGUAUAUCUAAUUAUUCAACAAUAACAUUGUAAAUCUUUGCUAAGUAUUAUGUUUGAUCUCCCUCUAUCAUUUGCAUUAUUAAUCCUAAUCUAUUCAGCUUGUCUAAAUUCACUAGGGUUCCUAUCCGACAUAAACUUCGUGUCGGGUUACUUGGCUAUUCUGGCUUCCACGAGUAUUAAAAAAUUGUAUUUGUAUUGUCUUCCAUAUUCUUCCCCAAUCAAAUUAUCAGGGUUAGCUUUAGCAAUCAAGUUCUUAAUUCCCAACAAGGUGACUUCAGAUUCGUUAGGGCGUUUCCUCAAAAUAUUCCCCAAAUGAUGACAAGUCUCUUGUACAAACUCAGCAAGAUAAUUUACUCAAGGAAUAAAUUUCGACUUACUGUUUAUCCGGGAAAUGAUUGUGUUCUAGCCAUUUCUAUGCUUAUGGCAUUUUUUUGGCGUUGACGAGCAAACAGUGAAGUAAA